ACUCUCUCAGGGUUGCACCUGGAGAGUUUACAGUACUCUACCGGUCUCAGUUUUGGGAGGGAGAGUCAAGCAAAGGCAUACCCAUUCUAUUCCUAGUUGGGCCAGUGGCUAGGGAGUGGAAGGCAAUCUGCUACAAGU
rfam:Ornithorhynchus anatinus chromosome 4, whole genome shotgun sequence.